AUGCAAGUCGAACGAUCCCUUCGGGGAUAGUGGCAGACGGGUGAGUAACGCGUGGGAACCUACCUUUCGGUACGGGAUAGCUCCGGGAAACUGGAAUUAAUACCGUAUGCGCCCUUUGGGGGAAAGAUUUAUCGCCGAAAGAUGGGCCCGCGUUGGAUUAGCUAGUUGGUGGGGUAAAGGCCUGCCAAGGCGACGAUCCAUAGCUGGUCUGAGAGGAUGAUCAGCCACACUGGGACUGAGACACGGCCCAGACUCCUACGGGAGGCAGCAGUGGGGAAUAUUGGACAAUGGGGGCAACCCUGAUCCAGCCAUGCCGCGUGAGUGAUGAAGGCCCUAGGGUUGUAAAGCUCUUUCAGCGAGGAGGAUAAUGACGUUACUCGCAGAAGAAGCCCCGGCUAACUUCGUGCCAGCAGCCGCGGUAAUUC
rnacentral:rRNA from 1 species